AUCAGUAUAGUGUAGUAGUUUGAGCAUUAGACUGUGACUCUGAAGAGCAGGGUUCAAAUCCCUGUUCAGCCC